GGAAGUAAAAGUCGUAACAAGGUUCCCCGUAGGUGAACCUGCGGAAGGAUCAUUA
rnacentral:rRNA from 1 species